AUUUAGUGGUCCUCUUGAGCUUGCAAAUGAAGUGAUGUGUUGAUUAUUUAUGAAAACAUUAUGGCUUUUGGUAGUUCAACCACACUUGGUUGAAGGUGAGACAUGAGCUUUUUAGUUCAACUUCAACCUCAUUCUCGUGUGUCCAAACUUCAAAUAGUUCCUAUUGUUCCAUACUUUACAUAAGUAAACGCCAUACCUCUGAUUUUUGUAUAGCCACCAUCUUUUUCUACGCAUAUGUGAAACUUCUACACAUGCUUACCAUUCUAACUAUGAACCUGGAAGUAGGCACCUUUUUGCAUAGUAUCCAAGUUGAACAGAAGAGGUUUAAUUUAUUUACUUAUUUUUUUCAUGGUGGGAUGGGGUGGAAGUGUUGGGCCUCUUCCAUUUAUUAUUUAUUUUUCUUAAUUUAUGUCUGCACUACUUUUUGGUGGUCUAUGUAGGGAUUUCUUGCUUCACUCAGGUUUCAUUAUUGUCUAUAUUGUAA
rnacentral:misc_RNA from 1 species